UACGUAGGGCGCAAGCGUUAUCCGGAAUUAUUGGGCGUAAAGAGCUCGUAGGCGGUUUGUCGCGUCUGCCGUGAAAGUCCGGGGCUCAACCUGGGAACUGCGUCCGAUACUGGCAGGCUUGAAUCCGGGAGAGGGAUGUGGAAGUUCAGGUGUAGCGGUGAAAUGCGUAGAUAUCUGGAGGAACACCGGUGGCGAAGGCGGCAUCCUGGACCGGUAUUGACGCUGAGGCGGCGAAAAGCUGAGGGGAGCCAAACGGGG
rnacentral:rRNA from 1 species